rnacentral:rRNA from 1 species
CUCAUUUCAUAACGGGAGAUAAAUGGGAGUUCAACUUAAUUUACUUGUGGGUUUCAACGGGUCUCUCUUUAUUAACCUAAUUUAGUUUAUAAAAUUAUAAUAUAAUAUACAUGAGUCAUUGUUAGGGGGUUAAAUUAGUGCCAACAACUGCGGUUAGACUAAGCCCUAUUUGUACAGCAGGGCUUGUUUAUUACAUUUUAUCAAUACACUAAAUGGUAAAAAAUAAAAAAAUUAGUAUACUAAUAUAUUUAACAAAAAACUAGUAUUAAAAUAGGAUUAGAUACCCUGGUAUUUUGUUGACUUACCCUUACUAUUAAAGUUAAAAUAAGAAUAUUUGGCGGCUCUAAGUUAUUAGAGGGGCUUGUCAAUAAACGAUAGGCCGCGUUUAAUUUUACUUUAUUAAAUUAUGUAUACCUUCAUAUAGCUUAUCUUUUAUAGUUAAUAAGUCUAAAAAAUAGAUCAAGGUGCAGAAACUUUAAAGUUAGAUUAGCCACAAUACUUACUAGUAAACGAAAAAUUAUGCUAUCAGGCGGAUUUAAUUUUAAUAAUUAUAAUUAUGACUUUAACACUUAAAGUGUUCAGAUCGCCCGUCGCUCUCUAUGAGAUAAGUCGAAACAAAGUAAGCCCACUGGAAAGUAGGCCUA